rnacentral:misc_RNA from 1 species
CUCAGACAGACAAUCCCAAGCCAAACUACGUACAUUCUCGUGACGUAGAACGCUUCUAAGGAUUCCAACAUAGCACAAUGUCUCGAGUUACCGCCCUUGCCCUACUCCUGUCCGUGGCGGCGUUUGCUGCCUCUAGCCCAGCCCCCCAACCUUGCCAGUUCCCGUCACAGUUUGUAUCUCUGGAAACCAGCAUGGAAUACAGAC